GCAUAGGUCAUUCUAUUAACAACGUCACUACUGCUCUUGAUGAAGGACACCCACAAACAAUUCAAAAUAUAUCAUCAAAAGAAUUUUGAGAUUGAGCAUCUAGAAAGUGAGUUACAACCAUCCUUUUGCACUUGGAA